GAGGGAGUAGCUCAAUGGCAGAGCGGCAUACGUUCCUCCAACUCAUCAUCCGGCUAUCAAAGCGGGUCGAGGGCGGAAUGUUCUCAAUGAUAAUGAGCCGGUUCCGGGUUCGAAUCCCGGCUCCCUCC
rnacentral:tRNA from 1 species